rnacentral:misc_RNA from 1 species
AACCAUAUUUCACAUAUAAUAGAUGUCAACCACAAUCCAUAAGCAUCAUGGACAGGAUGCAUUAUUCUAUAGUGGAAAAAGAGCCCAAGAAUUACAAGUCGAAGUAAAAUGACUAAUCUGUAUGGGCUUAGCUUGCUAGAAGCAAUAGGCUUCUUUCUGGAAAGUGGUUGUCUGCCUUCAUCCAUCUUGGGCAAGUCAGGAUCCAGCUCAUCUCCAUCAUUGUUACCACCUCCUUCGUGCUUAAUCAUCAGUAAUUUAUCGUUCUGUUUUUUCUUCCAGUCUUCCAUUCUUUCCUUCCAUGCAACACUACCAUACCCAUAAACAGCCAAGUCUUUCUUAGGAUCCAUGGGGCGAGGAGGAAAAGACAUGGAGGAAUCCGCGACUGGAUGAACUCUCUUACCACGACUCAUAAAUGGUGGGACUAUAAGAGCAUGUUUGUCAGCUGAAAUUCCAUCCUCCUCUUGACCAUAAGUAAGUAGAGGGAUCUCUGUGCCAAGGGCAGCAGGAUCCAUCUCUGAUGGGGUAGCAUAUCCAGAAGCAUUAGGAUUACCCCGGCCAACGUUAAGGCGAGCUGAAAGGGCAGCUUCAGCAGUUUGAUGAGGGUCAAACUCAUUGUCUAGAUCAUCAAAUUCAUCUUCUUCAUCAUCCCCUUCAACUCGAGGACUUCCUUUAAUUCGCUUAUACCUAGUUUUACAUUGAGGACAAGCUUGAUUCCCCUCUCUCCUUUCAUACUCAUAGCAAGGUCUGCAAACAGGAAAUGCA